CAGAUUCAUUUCCGCUGAGCCACGACGGGAACUCCAAGAGCAGCCAUGCUCUUGAAUGAGUGCGUCCAGGUAUAUGCACCCUGGAGCCCCCCGUCCCACCCAUUCGGGCACUUUCGUUGCCCUUUGUCCUUUGGGGGUCAGUUCAGAUACUGCAGGACUGGGCAAUGGCAGUCUGGCCCUCUGGACCUGGCUCUGUCUGAGGGAGAAUUUGUUUGUUUGAAAUCUGUUCAGGAGAAGAAAGCGAGGUGAAGUGGGGGUGGACCUCCAUCCCUUCCAGAAGUCCCCUGGGACAUGUCUGAGCAGAUUGGCACGAUCCUAGCUAUAAGCCCAUGACCAAGACAAAAGGAGUGAACGAGUAUUUACUGUAAUAUAGCCUGGCCAAGGGUCUGACGGGGCUGCCUGGGGCUCUGGCCUCCCAUGGCCCAUCUCUGGGAGGAGGAGGACUCGUGGGGAACCUGGCGGAGGCUCACCACUCCCCCUGUGUGUGGGGAAGCAAGACCUACCCAGCUGGAAAAAGCCAGGCUUCUGUACAGAGAUGAUCCACAAAAAAAUGGUGGAAAUGGUCCUUCGCGUUGUUUUUCACACCACUGCCCAAGCUGGACCCGUGUGCAGGCAUUGACAGUGAAAUCAGGCUACGGCCAAUGAGUGGGAGGGACAGAACGAGUUCCAGAAAAUAACAACGUCCACAGCUGCUAGAACAUAUCUACAGAUCCUCACCACCCAGCAGCUUGUGAGUCGCUCAAGAGGCCAAGGCUGAGAGAGAAGCACUGGAUCAAAGAAAAGCAGCUUUAUCUUAAGGAAGCCAGCAACCCGGGUAGAAAGUGCGUUACUGUGGGAAAGAACCAACGCCCCAGCUUUCAGCCAGGAUUCCUCCAGGAAGGGAAGCAGGGAACCGCUGCAGGCCAUGAGCUGAGG